ACCUCGAUGUCGACUCAACAUUUCCUCUUGGUUGUAAAAGCUAAGAAGGGUUUGACUGUUCGUCAAUUAAAAUGUUACGUGAGUUGGGUUAAAUACGAUGUGAAUCAGUAU
rnacentral:rRNA from 1 species